CUUAUCAAUCAAGUUUGUGAGACCAUGAUUGGAAAAGCGUUUGUUAUUCUUAUCUUGACAAGUCAGGUCUUGUCAAAUGAAUGUGGAUCCCUUAUUAGUUCUUGCACUGGAGAUUUGCCAAAAAAGUUCCUUGGCUGGUUUCUUUUUGGAAUUAUAAAAUUUCAACAGAAAGUAAUGUACGGAUAAUAGAAUCAUGCAACGGUUUAAUACUUGAUCAGUAUAACAUAUUAACGGUUGCUAAAUGUGUUGAUCCAAACCUCACAAUUCAAGUUUAUGCUGGUCCAGGAUCCCGCGGUCAGAAAUUGGAAAUUAAAAAUAUUCAUAGACAUGAAAAAUUUCAGGCUAUUACUUAUAAGAACAAUAUUGCUUUAGUUACUUUGAAAAAACCCAUUGACUUUACGGAAGGCGCCUCAGCCGUCUGUCUACCAGAAAAAAGAGACUCCACAAGGCAAAAAACUUUUCUUAUCUGGGUACGCCAGAGGAGGAGAUGGAUUAAAAGUAUCGAAGGUUAAGUUCAUUAAAGAUCGAGCUAAUUUGUGUAAAAAUGCUAGAAGAAGACUUGAAAGGCCAAAUUCAGACAAAGAAUUUUGUACAAUGUCAGAAAAUAUUGGAGAGUGCACAAGAGAGAAAGGUUCAGGUCUUAUAGGAAAAA
rnacentral:lncRNA from 1 species